UACGGGGGGGGGCAAGCGUUGUUCGGAAUUACUGGGCGUAAAGGCUCGUAGGUGGCCAACUAAGUCGGACGUGAAAUCCCUCGGCUUAACCGGGGAACUGCGUCUGAUACUGGAUGGCUUGAGUUCGGGAGAGGGAUGCCGGAAUUCCAGGUGUAGCGGUGAAAUGCGUAGAUAUCUGGAGGAACACCGGUGGCCGAAGGCGGCAUCCUGGACCAACACUGACGCUGAGGAGCGAAAGCCAGGGGAGCAAACGGG
rnacentral:rRNA from 1 species